rnacentral:rRNA from 1 species
GACGAACGCUGGCGGCGCGCCUAACACAUGCAAGUCGAACGGAGCUGAGAGAAGCUUGCUUUUCUUAGCUUAGUGGCGCACGGGUGAGUAACGCGUGAGUAACCUGCCCUGGAGUGGGGGACAACAGUUGGAAACGACUGCUAAUACCGCAUAAGCCCACGAUCCGGCAUCGGCUUGAGGGAAAAGGAUUUAUUCGCUUCAGGAUGGACUCGCGUCCAAUUAGCUAGUUGGUGAGGUAACGGCCCACCAAGGCGACGAUUGGUAGCCGGACUGAGAGGUUGAACGGCCACAUUGGGACUGAGACACGGCCCAGACUCCUACGGGAGGCAGCAGUGGGGGAUAUUGCACAAUGGGGGAAACCCUGAUGCAGCGACGCCGCGUGGAGGAAGAAGGUUUUCGGAUUGUAAACUCCUGUCGUUAGGGACGAUAAUGACGGUACCUAACAAGAAAGCACCGGCUAACUACGUG